AACGAACGCUGGCGGCAUGCCUAACACAUGCAAGUCGAACGAGACCUUCGGGUCUAGUGGCGCACGGGUGCGUAACGCGUGGGGAUCUGCCCUUUGCUUCGGAAUAACAGUUAGAAAUGACUGCUAAUACCGGAUGAUGUCGUAAGACCAAAGAUUUAUCGGCAAAGGAUGAACCCGCGUAGGAUUAGCUAGUUGGUGGGUAAAGGCCUACCAAGGCGACGAUCCUUAGCUGGUCUGAGAGGAUGAUCAGCCACACUGGGACUGAGACACGGCCCAGACUCCUACGGGAGGCAGCAGUGGGGAAUAUUGGACAAUGGGCGAAAGCCUGAUCCAGCAAUGCCGCGUGAGUGAUGAAGGCC
rnacentral:rRNA from 1 species